rnacentral:rRNA from 1 species
AACGUAGGAGACGAACGUUAUCCGGGAGUUACUGGGCGUAAAGGGCGUGUAGGCGGUUUGUUAAGUCUGGCGUGAAAGCUCUCGGCUAAACCGGGAGAGGUCGUUGGAUACUGGCGAACUAGAGGAUGGUAGAGGCGUGUGGAAUUCCGGGUGUAGUGGUGAAAUGCGUAGAGAUCCGGAGGAACACCAGUGGCGAAGGCGACACGCUGGGCCAUACCUGACGCUAAAGCGCGACAGCAUGGGGAGCAAACGGGG